rnacentral:rRNA from 1 species
GAUCCUGGCUUAGGAUGAACGCUGGCGGCGUGCUUAACACAUGCAAGUCGAACGAGGGUUACCGGUUGAAAUUUCGAAUGGAAACGGGUAAUACCUAGUGGCGGACGGGUGAGUAACGCGUGGGGAACCUGCCCCAUUCCGGGGGAUACCAGUUGGAAACGACUGUUAAUACCGCAUAAGCGCACAGUACUGCAUGGUACGGUGUGAAAAACCACGGUGGAAUGGGAUGGCCCCGCGUCUGAUUAGCCAGUUGGCAGGGUAACGGCCUACCAAAGCGACGAUCAGUAGCCGGCCUGAGAGGGCGACCGGCCACAUUGGGACUGAGACACGGCCCAAACUCCUACGGGAGGCAGCAGUGGGGAAUAUUGCACAAUGGGGGGAACCCUGAUGCAGCGAACCGCCGCGUGAGUGAAGAAGUAUUUCGGUAUGUAAAGCUCUAUCAGCAGGGAAGAAGAUGACGGUACCUGCACAAGAAGCCCCGGCUAACUACGUGCCAGCAGCAGC